GAUGAACGCUGGCGGCGUGCCUAAUACAUGCAAGUCGAGCGGACGGACGAGAUGCUUGCUUCUCUGAUGUUAGCGGCGGACGGGUGAGUAACACGUGGAUAACCUACCUAUAAGACUGGGAUAACUUCGGGAAACCGGAGCUACUACCGGAUAAUCUUUUGAACCGCAUGGUUCAAAAGUGAUAGACGGUCUUGCUGUCACUUAUAGAUGGAUCCGCGCUGCAUUAGCUAGUUGGUAAGGUAACGGCUUACCAAGGCAACGAUGCAUAGCCGACCUGAGCGCGUGUACGGCGACACUGGAACUGAGAGGCGGUCCAGACACCGAGGUGAGGCAGCAGUAGGGAAUCUUCCGCGAUGGGCGGAAGCCUGACGGAGCGGCGCCGCGUGAGUGAUGAAGGUCUUCGGAUCGUAAAACUCUGUUAUGAGGGAAGAACAUAUGUGUAAGUAACUGCGCACAUCGUGACGGUACCUAAUCAGAAAGCCACGGCUAACUACGUG
rnacentral:rRNA from 1 species